UAUGUAGGGGGCAAGCGUUGUCCGGAUUUAUUGGGCGUAAAGAGCUCGUAGGUGGUUCGGUAAGUCGGAUGUGAAAUCUCCAGGCUCAACCUGGAGGGGUCAUUCGAUACUGCCGUGACUAGAGGUCGGUAGGGGAGUGUGGAAUUCCUGGUGGAGCGGUGAAAUGCGCAGAUAUCAGGAGGAACACCCGUAGCGAAGGCGGCUCUCUGGGCCGAUACUGACGCUGAGGAGCGAAAGCGUGGGGAGCGAACAGG
rnacentral:rRNA from 1 species